UGGGGAAUUUUGGACAAUGGGGGCAACCCUGAUCCAGCCAUCCCGCGUGUGCGAUGAAGGCCUUCGGGUUGUAAAGCACUUUUGGCAGGGAAGAAAAGGUGCCGGUGAAUACCCGGCGCCGCUGACGGUACCUGCAGAAUAAGCACCGGCUAACUACGUGCCAGCAGCCGCGGUAAUACGUAGGGUGCAAGCGUUAAUCGGAAUUACUGGGCGUAAAGCGUGCGCAGGCGGCUCGGAAAGAAAGAUGUGAAAUCCCAGGGCUUAACCUUGGAAUGGCAUUUUUAACUCCCGAGCUAGAGUAUGUCAGAGGGGGGUAGAAUUCCACGUGUAGCAGUGAAAUGCGUAGAGAUGUGGAGGAAUACCGAUGGCGAAGGCAGCCCCCUGGGAUAAUACUGACGCUCAUGCACGAAAGCGUGGGGAGCAAACAGG
rnacentral:rRNA from 1 species